GAAGUAAGCCAAGACAACCGCUGGCUGUCAUUUCGGUGAUGGCGGGAGGAAGGUCCGGACUCCAUAGAGCAGGGUGACGGUUAACGGCCGUCCGCCGUGAGGCGAGGAAUAGGGCCACAGAGACGAGCGUAUUAAGUUACGGUGAAACGCGGUAACCUCCACUCGGAGCAAUUCCAAAUAGGCACGCGUUGACGUUGCUCGCGGAGCGUGCGGGUAGGAAGCUUGAGCCGUGGAGUAAUUCACGGCCUAGAGGAAUGGUUGUCAUAACGCGUGGGUUCGCCCAUGCGUCGUAACAGAAUCCGGCCUAUCGGCUUGCUUCAACU
rnacentral:RNase_P_RNA from 19 species